AACCGGUUAGCUCAGUUGGUUAGAGUGUGGUACUCGUAACCCCAAGGUUGUGGGUUCAUUCCCCAUACGGGCUA
rnacentral:tRNA from 1 species